ensembl:lncRNA
GAAUUUACAUUUACAGUCACACAGUGAAUUUGUUGUUUGUGUUUGCUUGUGUACAGGUGUAUGAAUGUGUGUUCGAAUGAUACGUGCUCUUUGAUUCCUGACUGAACCAAAACUGAUCCCCAUCUCCUAUGAACGUGCUAAUGCACCCAAAGACGAAAGACCUGUGUAGCCCAAAGACAAAACAGCCGCGUCACGACAGAGAUGGAUUUCUGCUGCCUUCAAAUGGAAAUUGCGAGCUUCUAAUUGCUAUUUGGAAAGUCGUGCACAUGAAACACUUUCAAGUGGUGGCGUUGACUAUAAGUUGUGAUAACACCGCUGCUAGGAACCAGCGACAUAGGUGUUACUGUCGGCCUCUAGAAACCACUGUGAAUACAAAUUUAGCAAGCUAAUGAGUGGGAAGUGCAAAUACACAAUGAAGCGAUGAAGCUGUUGGACAGACCAACAUUAUACUGAGACAUUAUAAAAGACUAAAUUACAAUAUAUCGCCUUACAAUCCACUGAAAUAUAACCCUUUGUGCCACUUCUGAAAAUGUCAGCCUCCAUUUGAAGGCAGCAUUCCUUCUGUACCGUUAAGUUUUUGAUUGGUAUGUCAAACUAAUGAGGUGUUACCGAUAUAAAAAAAUGACUGAAUAUAGAUGACUACAACUGUUUUGUGGAAUUUCCUGCACUCUCUCUAUAUAUUUUAGCGUGAAGCAUAAAUGUAUUAAAACUACAUGUAGAAGUGCACAAACCAGAACUGGGUCACAGGAGUGAAAAAAAAAAAGUCUAGACUUGUCUGCAUUUCUUUACCAUUAACAGGUUGAAGAAAAAAAGGUUUGGGGUGAAUAUUCUGUCAUGAGUGAAUCUGCAGAGCUUUGGCUGAACAGCUUUCACCAGGAGAUUUAAAAAAAAAAAACCUUAACAUUCACACACUGACGUUUGGCUUUUCACAUCAGUGAUUAUUAACCUUACUCCAAACAUUGCCCAAACCAAACAGGUUAACUCUGUUUACUUUUAGUUUUUUUUUUGUUUAUGUGUAAUAUUUAUUAUGCCUGCUAUGUUUUAUAUAUAAGAUAUUGUUUAUAUUGUUCGCUUCCAUGAUUUGUAAAUUUUUUUUUUGUCAAUGUAGUCUUAAUUUUUUUUUCUUGCGAGGCAUUAAUGUGCUAUGAACCAAAAUUAUGUGUUUCCUCUUUCAGGAAUGACUAAAGUGUCUUACAAAAUAAAAAACAGCGAAAACACUUUACAAUCCCUCUUUUAAUGGUUUAAUCCAAUGUAAUGGAGUGAUUUGAGGUGAGAGGCU